rnacentral:rRNA from 1 species
GAGGAAUAUUGGUCAAUGGACGCGAGUCUGAACCAGCCAAGUAGCGUGAAGGAUGACUGCCCUAUGGGUUGUAAACUUCUUUUAUAUGGGAAUAAAGUUUUCCACGUGUGGAAUUUUGUAUGUACCAUAUGAAUAAGGAUCGGCUAACUCCGUGCCAGCAGCCGCGGUAAUACGGAGGAUCCGAGCGUUAUCCGGAUUUAUUGGGUUUAAAGGGAGCGUAGGUGGACAGUUAAGUCAGUUGUGAAAGUUUGCGGCUCAACCGUAAAAUUGCAGUUGAUACUGGCUGUCUUGAGUACAGUAGAGGUGGGCGGAAUUCGUGGUGUAGCGGUGAAAUGCUUAGAUAUCACGAAGAACUCCGAUUGCGAAGGCAGCUCACUGGACUGCAACUGACACUGAUGCUCGAAAGUGUGGGUAUCAAAC